UUUGAUACUGGCAGGGCUGGAAUUCUGUUUCCGUGGGGGGGGAAGGAGUAAGGGUAGGGGGGGAAAAAGCCUAGAAUAUUACUUCAGAACCCCCGAUUGGGAGGGCAUCUCCCGAAACCAGAGAUUGUCGCUGAGGCACGAAAGCGUGGGGAUCAAACAGGAUUAGAUACCUGGUAGUCCACGCAGUAAACGAUGAUAAUUAACCGUCGGCGAUAGACAGUCGGUGGCCAAGCGAAAGCGAUAAGUUAUCCACCUGGGGAGUACGACCGCAAGGUUGAAACUCAAAGGAAUUGACGGGGGCCCGCACAAGCGGAGGAACAUGUGGUUUAAUUCGAUGAUACGCGAGGAACCUUACCCAGGCUCGAACGGCAGAUGAACGAUGCAGAGAUGCAAAGGUCCUUCGGGACGUCUGUCGAGGUGCUGCAUGGUUGUCGUCAGCUCGUGUCGUGAGAUGUUGGCUUAAGUGCCAUAACGAGCGCAACCCUUGUCGUUAGUUACCAUCAAGUAGUGUUGGGGACUCUAACGAGACUGCCGUCGUAAGAUGUGAGGAAGGAGGGGAUGACGUCAAAUCAGCACGGCCCUUAUGUCCAGGGCGACACACGUGUUACAAUGGGAGGAUCAACGGGCAGCUACCUAGCGAUAGGAUGCUAAUCUCUAACCCCUCUCUCAGUUCGGAUUGAAGUCUGGAAUUCGACUUCAUGAAGCUGGAUUCGCUAGUAAUCGCGCAUCAGCCACGGCGCGGUGAAUACGUUCCCGGGCCUUGUACUCACCGCCCGUCAAG
rnacentral:rRNA from 1 species